rnacentral:rRNA from 1 species
CAGCCGCCGCGGUAAAACGUAGGUGGCAAGCGUUGUCCGGAAUUAUUGGGCGUAAAGGGCUCGCAGGCGGUUUCUUAAGUCUGAUGUGAAAGCCCCCGGCUCAACCGGGGAGGGUCAUUGGAAACUGGGAAACUUGAGUGCAGAAGAGGAGAGUGGAAUUCCACGUGUAGCGGUGAAAUGCGUAGAGAUGUGGAGGAACACCAGUGGCGAAGGCGACUCUCUGGUCUGUAACUGACGCUGAGGAGCGGAAGCGUGGGGAGCGAACAGGAUUAGAUACCCCCGUAGUCCCUGUCUCUUAUAC